AUGUGGGGCUGGAGUGAGUGUCAAAGAGUGUCAGGCUACUCCUGUGUUUUGAAGGUGGCAAGAACCACUAGAACCCUGAAACCAUCCAGAUCAAAUCCUUUCCAGAUUGACGCCUCCUUUCUGGUAAAUGCCCCCUAUUAUUUAAUGGCUUAUGAUGCUGAUCUAUUAAAAAAUAGCCCCAAAAUAUCUCCUGGUGACUUAUUGUGUUCAAAGAAGACACCAUGCUCCCCUGAUCUCAAGAGUAGUUGUUCAGAGGUAUCUGGAGUUACAAAGGGGCCUUUUGGGAAGAGGCGCUCCAAGGUACAUGUUCUGGGAAGAGGGCAGACAGGUGGCAAGAGAAAAGAAGUAAAGUGAGAUGAACUAAGGGAGACUGAGUUCAUAUAGGUAUUAUUAAUAUUUUCCGCUUCUUUGACCUGUUGGAUGACAUUAGCAGACUAAUGGUCAAAUUUUUGUAGAGAAUGGUCAGAUGACUGAUUCUAAAUGUUUUACUAUUUUUGGAAAUAUUUAAUAAGUUAGAGAGUAGGGGGUAAAAUAUAAAUAGGGGUGUGGGUGGGUCAGAGGAGAAUGAGCACAAGGAUCUAGCAUGAGGAGAGCGAUUUUCUCUGCUUUAUCACUCUGCUUUAUUUUCCCAGUAGGAAUCCAUAUUGACCAUAUCAGAUUCUUCCUUAUCAGGGAUUCUUUGCAUGUCUUGGGAUUUUGCAGAUCGUUUUCUUUUUUAAAAAAAAUUUAUUUAUUUUAAUUGGAGGCUAAUUACUUUAUAAUAUUGUAUUGGUUUUGCCAUAUAUCAACAUGAAUCCGCCAUGGGUGUACACGUGUUCCCCAUCCUGAACCUCACUCCCACCUCCCUCCCCAUAUCAUCCCUCUGGGUCAUCCCAGUGCACCAGCCCCAAGCAUCCUGUAUCAUGCAUCGAACCUGGGACUGGAGAUUCGUUUCACAUAUGAUAUUAUACAUGUUUCAAUGCCAUUCUCCCAAAUCAUCCCACCCUAACCCUCUCCCACAGACUCCAAAAGACUGUUCUAUACACUUGUGUCUCUUUUACUGUCUCGCAUACAGGGUUAUCGUUACCAUCUUUCUAAAUUCCAGAUAUAUGCAUUAGUAUACUGUAUUGGUGUUUUUCUUUCUGGCUUAUUUCACUCUGUAUAAUAGGCUCCAGUUUCAUCCACCUCAUUAGAACUGAUUCAAAUGUAUUCUUUUUAAUGGUUGACUAAUACUCCCUUGUGUAUAUGUACCACAGCUUUCUUAUCCAUUCAUCUGCUGAUGGACAUCUAGGUUGCUUCCAUGUGCUAGCUAUAAUAAACAGUGCUGCAGUGAACAUUGAGGUACAUGUGUCUCUUUCAAUUCUGGUUUCUUUGGUGUGUAUGCCCAGCAGUGGGAUGGCUGGGUCAUAACGCAGUUCUAUUUGCAAUUUUUUAAGGAAUCUCCACACUGUUCUCCAUAGUGGCUGUACUAUUUUGCAUUCCCACCAACAGUGUAAGAGGGUUCCCUUUUCUCCACACCCUCUCAUCACAGCCAUUCUGACUGGCAUGAAAUGGUACCUCAUUG
rnacentral:lncRNA from 1 species